UAAAAAUGCCAGCUUCUUUUAUUUUACCCUCAAGGAGACAACAGCUCAACAAGCAUAAAGGGAGAUGCUCAGGCUUGUUGGCAAUCAGACAGUGGUAAGAUGGACACCUAAAGUGUGAUGAGUACGCCCCAGGAAAUGUUUUGCAGCAGGGAGAAGCAAUGGACUGGAUGUAUACAUCAAAGCCAAGAUGGAUCUUUAAGACAUAGAAAGAAGGGGAAAAUGUAAUAAACAAAAUGGUCUUGCUUUGUUGCCCAGCCUAGCGUGCAGUGGUGUGACUCUAGCUCACUACAGCCUCUGACCUCCCAGGCAUAAGUGAUCCUCCUGCCUCAGCCUCCCACCAUCAGGACUGCAGGGAUGCGCCACUACAAUCAGUGAAUAUUUUUAAAAUUUAUUUUUGUGCAGAGACCGGGCCUUACUAUGUUGCCCAGGCUGGUUUUAAACUAAUGGGCUCAAGCUAUCCUCCUGCCUUGGCUUCCCAAAGUGCUGGAACUGCAGGCAAGAGCCACCAUGCCCAGCUUCUUCUCUCUUUUAACUUUAUUUGUACAUUGCCUUAAUCUUUCAGAACAAUGUUUAACAAUGAACAU
rnacentral:lncRNA from 1 species